GAUGAACGCUGGCGGCGUGCCUAAUACAUGCAAGUCGAGCGAACAGAUGAGGAGCUUGCUCCUCUGACGUUAGCGGCGGACGGGUGAGUAACACGCGGAUAACCUACCUAUAAGACUGGGAUAACUUCGGGAAACCGGAGCUAAUACCGGAUAAUAUAUUGAACCGCAUGGUUCAAUAGUGAAAGACGGUUUUGCUGUCACUUAUAGAUGGAUCCGCGCCGCAUUAGCUAGUUGGUAAGGUAACGGCUUACCAAGGCAACGAUGCGUAGCCGACCUGAGAGGGUGAUCGGCCACACUGGAACUGAGACACGGUCCAGACUCCUACGGGAGGCAGCAGUAGGGAAUCUUCCGCAAUGGGCGAAAGCCUGACGGAGCAACGCCGCGUGAGUGAUGAAGGUCUUCGGGUCGUAAAACUCUGUUAUUAGGGAAGAACAAAUGUGUAAGUAACUAUGCACGUCUUGACGGUACCUAAUCAGAAAGCCACGGCUAACUACGUG
rnacentral:rRNA from 1 species